rnacentral:rRNA from 1 species
AGCAGCCGCGGUAAUUCCAGCUCCAAUAGCGUAUAUUAAAGUUGUUGCAGUUAAAAAGCUCGUAGUUGAAUUUCGGGAUCAGUUGGUCGGUCGUGCCUCGGUACGUACUGGUCAAAUUGAUUCCUACCUUCUGACGAACCACGAUGUCAUUAAUUUGGUGUCGCGGGAAAUCAGGACUGUUACUUUGAAAAAAUUAGAGUGUUUAAAGCAGGCUCGCGCUUGAAUACAUUAGCAUGGAAUAAUGAAAUAGGACGUUUGAUUCUAUUUUGUUGGUUUCUAGGAUCGACGUAAUGAUUAAUAGGGAUAGUUGGGGGCAUUAGUAUUCAAUUGUCAGAGGUGAAAUUCUUGGAUUUAUUGAAGACUAACUACUGCGAAAGCAUUUGCCAAGGAUGUUUUCAUUAAUCAAGAACGAAAGUUAGGGGAUCGAAGACGAUCAGAUACCGUCGUAGUCUUAACCAUAAACUAUGCCGACUAGGGAUCGGAUGAUGUUAAUUUUUUAAUGACUCAUUCGGCGUCCG